rnacentral:lncRNA from 1 species
AGAGGAAGCACUUACAAAGGAUUUCACAUUCAAGGUUGGAAUGGAAUUUUCAUCUCUGGAGAAAUUUAAGAAUGUUAUACUAGAACACAAUGUCUUGAAUAGUAGGAAGUUAAGAUUUUCCAAAACAAUUAUACCAAUAGGUGUAGGAUUGUUUGUAAGAAUGAAAAGCGGUGUAACUACAUUUUGCUAUGCAAAAGGGUUUUAAUAACUGCAACAUAUAAGUCGAGACUUUGUUUCACAGACACAAAUAUGGGAGAUAAUUCUUCAAUAAGAAUGUCAAGGUUGAUUGGAUUUCUAAAACGAUUGUAGAAAAGUUAAAUAACAAUAUUAUGACACUGAAAACACAUGGAGUUGUGGGACCUAGGAAGCAUGUAUAGGAUCCAGUUGUGAUUCCUGAAGAAGAAGACACAGUUGGUGGCAGUGCUAAGAGAAACAAGACUUGGGAUGAAAUUCAAAAGAGCAUGUCUCAAUGAUUUUUUAUCAUGAAUUAUGUAUCUCUUUUCGGGUUUUCACUAUGUUUUUAACCUAAUGAUUAUGUAUCAUCCUGACUUAUCUUAUUGUCGUACCUUAAAAAACGAGAACACUACCUCGUGAAGCACAAUUACACACUCACAGAAUGGACUAACAGAGUCGCCGUCAAACUUUAUUUAUUUCCAAAGAGGGGAAGGGAAAAUACUGAUAAAAUAACGACAAGGAUAUGGUCAUCGCAAGUAAAUCAAGGUUAAGGAAUUGAGUGCACAAGGGGAAGGUAUUAGCAUCCCUCAUGUCCAUUGUACUCAACAUGAGCCAUUUAGUUAGUUGUGCAUGUUAGUGUUAGCUUUUUAAAUGUUAUGCUUCUCGAGUUAUUAAAAAUAGAAUAAGACAAAACGAAUUUUUUAUUUAUUUAGGGUGCCUGAAGAGAUUUUUAAUCUCGCUCCUACGUAUCUUCGGGUAUGAUGGAUAACUCAAGGUUACGUAGUUCUGGGUAGAAAAUGUUUCUUUGUUGGUUGAUUUUAGAAAAAACUAUUUUGUCUCAAUCAAUGGAAACACAUUACUUGCUAGCCAAAACAUGCGAGGAGAAGGAGUUUGCAUUACAUUGAAUGGAUUUCUACAUAUCGACAUUCACGGGAAAACAUCACUUAUCUUAACUCACACAUUUGUGAAUGAAGCAUUGUUUUGAAUCGUCUCGAGGCGAAAACAUCUUUCAUUUAUGAAAAGGUUUGAAGAUCGUGCGGAGGCAAGAAAAAAGUUUGAUGUAUUUUGAGUGAUGUGAGUGCUUGGAUGGGAGAGAUAUCCAUCUCGUAUCUUAGACUCUAGAGCUCGUGGUAUCCACCAUGUUCCUUUUCCAUCUUAUUUGCAAAAUGAUUUGAUAUUUUUAGAUGUUUUGAGAUUUUUGAUUGAGAAACGGUUUGAAAAAGUUGCAAUGAAAUUUUUGAGUGAUUGUGAGAACUCAAAUGGGCGAGAUAUCCAUCUCUUAUCCUAGCCUUUAGAGCUCGUGGUAUACGCCCUGCUCAUUUUUCAUAUUUAUUGAAAAGUGUUUAGUAAGAAAUAAGUGUUUUGAUUUUCUUUUGGAAAAAUGAAUUUGACGUUGGAUCAAACAUUUGAUUAACGUUUGGGAAAUGGUUGUAAAAUUAUUUGAAUUGAGAAUGAGAUGGUUUGAAAUUAUUGAGGGUGAAAUGAAUUUGAAAUUGAAUGGUGGAAGCUUGGUGUUGGGAAAAUGUUUUUGAAAAUGGAACUUGGUGUUGACUAAGUAUUUUUAUUGUUUUGAAAGAUUGAUUUUACAUUUUGUGCUAUUAUUUAUUUAGUUCAUUUUAACUAACUAAGAGCAAUGGAAAUAAAAGCGAGAAAAUAAAUACAAAUUACAAACAAGGGAUGGGGUACAUUUUGUCAAAUGGGGAUAUAAUAAAGCGAUUAAAAAGUAAGUUCGUCAAACAAGUAAAUGCAAACACCAAAAAGGAAACUCAUUGUUAGAAGGCAAAAAAGUAAGUCAUGGGACCGGAAAAUACGCGAAAUCAAAAGCAAACUAAAUUUAGCACUAUGUGACACUAACUUAAAAUGACUUAAUGUAGGAAUCACUCUAUAAAAAGUCGGUCAACAAAAUCUAUGCGUCCAAGCGAAUUUCGGAAGUUAAAUUGGAUUUUAACUUCGAAAUCGCAAAGCAAUGAAAUCAAUGCAACAAUUAAUCAAAUAAUCUAUUUAAAAAAUUAAUUAAUUAAUUAAACCAAAAAUAACUAAUAAAUUAAUACUCUCUCAGGUUCUUUUUAAGUGUAAUUUUUUAAUUUUUUUACCGGUAUUAAGAAAGUUAAUCAUUAUUGUUACUUUUCAAACAAUAAUUCUUCUUUUACCUAUAAUAUCCUUAACUAUUUAUUACAUUUAUUUUACUUUUUUCCUCUGUGUAAUAAUUAUUUAGGGACAAUUUUGAUAAAAGUGCAAUUAAUAUUAUCUUGAACUUUAUAAGUGAUAAUUAAAAAGAAACAUUUUUUUCAAAAAAGUGACACUUAUAAAGGAAUAAAGGGAAUAAAUAAUUAAUUAAUUAAUUACCGAUUUAGAAAAUAAUCAAGAGAUAAAAAAUAAAAAACAAAUCUAAAUUUAAAAAAAAAAGUGGUGAAUGAAAAAAAUGGGCAGGGUGCAGAAAUCAAAAUAGUUUUGGGCCCAAUACACCAAAACACUAAAACCUCAAUUAAAACUAAAAAUAAAUAAAAAUAAAAAUAAAAAUAAAUAACAAUAAACAAGAGAAAAAGAAAAUGUUCUGCUAGAGAUGUAGUAGUGGAUAGAGGUUAAUGGCAUGAUAGAAGAAAAAAAACGAGAUGAAGUUCUUUACAUGAAUCAUAGAAUGAAAGUAACUAGUGUGUUUGAAAAAUGGUAAGGUAAGGUUAUGAGAAAGAAGAAAAGAUAUUGGUGAAAACAUGAGGUCACUAUAAAGAACAAAAUGACUUUUGAAUCAAGAAGAUUUUUUUUCCUUUGUUUCUACUUGGCUUUUGUUUUGGAAUACUGAGUGAGAAAUGAAGAUUCAUGAGUUAUAUAACCAUUCUAUUAGACUGCUUUGGCUAGAUGAAUUUGAUUUCUCCUUUUUGAAUGUGUGAGAAAGAAUGAAGUUAUGGGUGAUUCAGUAUAUGAGUUGAGAGAAACGAGUAUAUUGCAGCUUUUUGAUAAUAUCUCUCUUGCCUUCUUUUCUAAAAUCCGUUAUUUGAAAUGUGAAAGCCCAUCUUCAACAAGUGUAGCGCCUCGUUUGAUUUUUUCUUUCUUUCAGCAACAUAACUUUAUUUAUUGGUGUAUCAUUAGAGUUACAUAAUAUUAGCAUACCUAUAAAAUGCCUCUAAUGAAUGUUAUUAGUGUGAAAAUGGUUUUUAAAAAACUAAAUUAACUUAUUUUAAAUCAAAAUUGAAUCGAGAUAACAACACAAAACAUUCUAAUUAAUUAUUAAAGAUACUUUGAUAAAUAAAUAAAAAUAAAAGGAUUCAAAAUAAAUAAAAAUCAAACGUAAAAAUAUACAAAAAAUUAAAUUGAAUGCACCAAAAUGAUCAACGCAAAAUAAAAUUUAAAAAAAUAUAUAGGUUUCGAUCAAAUUUUAAAACAAAAAAUGAUCGGUUAAACGGCUCAGGCUGAUCAAACUGCGAUCGAAAAAAUAAAACGAGCACACCAUAUUACAUUAUACGAAUCAUAGAUUAAUAAAACUCACGUCCGCUAAUUUCACGUACAUUGAGAAUCAGUUUAAUUUAUUUUGGUAGAUAUUUUAUGCAUUAUGCGAUAUGAAAUGGAUAUUAUGACAUAUAAAUUAUACAAAUAUCAUGAUGUAUGUAUUAAUUUAUUGAAUGAAGGACAAAAUUGGGAUAUGACAAUUAUAUAUUGUAAUGAAUUGUGUAUUCUUUUGUUUACUUUGUUUGUAAUUUCUUUUGUGAAACUUUGUAGUAUCUUUUUUGUGAAACUUUGUACUAUAAAAACCUCUUUUGGUACAAGUUUAACAUAUGCUAAACUUGUCAUCAAUGUUAUCUAGUUUGGAACUAUGAAACAUCAGUGGUAUCUUUAAAUGUUAUCUAGUUUGUACUGUCAUAAAAGGAUUUUAGGAAAAAUGAUGGGUAAUUUUUGGGGUAUGACACCUACAUUGGUAGGACUUCAGACAACCAAGGAUCCAAGAGAAUUAUGGAGAGUUGAGUGAGAAUCGAAGAGAUGAAAUUUUCUAGAAAAUACCUUCAAUACAGGUCUGAAUUCAACUGUUCUUGCUUUGAUUCGUGGUUGAUCUUGCUCAUAACGCUUGGAGGAAUGGAUUAGAAUGAUCAAAAGGUCUUGGAUCCCCGGAGAUUUGAAUCUCAAAACAGUGAGAUUCAAACUCAAUCUCCAAUGGAAACACAUUAACACAUAUUUAUCACCUUCUUCAACAACUGACUUUUGAAUCAAGAAGAAUUUUUUUCCUUUAUUUCUACUUGACUUUUGUUUUGGAAUACUGGGUGAGAAAUGAAUAUUCAUGAGUUAUAUAACCAAUCUAUGAGAGUGCUUUGGCUAGAUGAAUUUGAUUUCUCCUUUUUGAAUGUGUGAGAGAGAAUGAAAUCCAUGUGAAGAGAGGAAGGUGAUUCAGUAUAUGAGUUGAGAGAAACGAGUAUAUUGCAGCUUUUUGAUAAUCUCUCUCUUGCCUUCUUUUCUGAAAUCCAUUAUUUAAAAUGUGAAAGCCCACAUCUUCAACAAGUGUAGCGCCUCGUUUGAUUUAUUUUUUUCAGCAACACAACUUUAUUUAUUGGUGUAUCAUUAGAGUUACAUAAUAUUAGCAUACGUAUAAAAUGCCUCUAAUGAGUGUUAUUAGUGUGAAAAUGGGUUUUAAAAAACUAAAUUAAAUUAUUUUAAAUCAAAAUUGAAUCGAGAUAACAACAUAAAACAUUCUAAUUAAUUAUUAUAGACAUUUUGAUAAAUAAAUAAAAAUAAAAGGAUUCAAAAUAAAUAAAAAUCAAACGUAAAAAUAUUCAAAAAGUUACAUUGAAUGCACCAAAAUGAUCAACGCAAAAUAAACGUCUCAAAAAUAUAUAGGUUUCGAUCAAAUUUCAAAAUAAAAGAUGAUCGGUUAAAAGGCUCAGGCUGAUCAAACUGCAGUCGAAAAAAUAAAACGAGCACACCAUGUCAAAUUAUACGAAUCGUAUAUUAAUAAAACUGACGUCUGCAAACUCGAUUUGAAAAAAAUGUGUCCGUUAAUUUCACAUACAUUGAGAAUCAGUUCAACAGAUAACUGUAGAUCCAAAAAUUUAUUUUGGUCGAUAUUUUAGGCAUAAUGCGAUAUGAAAUGGAUAUUAUGACAUAUAAAUUAUGCAAAUAUCAUGAUGAAUGUAUUAAUUUAUUGAAUGAGGGACAAAAUUGGAAUAUGAUAAUUAUGUAUUGUAAUGAAUUAUGUAUUCUUUUGUUUAUUUUGUUUGUAAUUUCUUUUGUGAAACUUUGUAGUAUCUCUUUUGAUACUAUAAAAACCUCUUUUGGUACAAGUUUAACAUAUGCUAAACUUGUCAUCAAUGUUAUCUAGUUUGGAACUAUGAAACAUCAGUGGUAUCUUUAAAUGUUAUCUAGUUUGUACUGUCAUAAAAGUUUCACAGGGAAAACCACAGUUUAAAUUAAAGUGUUAUUAUGAACAAUAAAAUCAAUCAUUAGUCAUUAGUUUAAGUGUUACUAUGUUAAAAUGAAGUGUUACUAUUCCAAUUUUUAUGUCAAAUAGAAAUGUUAAAUUUGUCAAAUAUUGAUAACCAUGAUAAUUGUUUAAUCAAAACCAACAUUUCAUUAACAAAUAAGAUUAAUAUAUAGAUUUCAAUACAUCUGUAAUUUCAACAUAACACCAACGAUAUAAUUCAAUGUCUCCUUCAACAAUUACAUUUCAAAAGAAAAUAAACAUCAAAGAUAAAAGAGAUUACAAACAUAAUUUAAAUUUCCAAACAAUUCUCUUAUUUAAGUUUGUUCUUCAAAUUUUUGUUCUUCUUCUUUGAAUCUUCAUACAUAAUCUUCAAGUAUCUCAUUCAACUCUUAGUUCAUAAUACUCUCAUCUUCAUUUUCAGUUUUUGUUCCAAAAUCUUCAUUGUCAUAUGAACAAAUCACAUGUCUCAUUACUCAUCCAAAAGGUAUAUCUCCAAAAAAAAAUCUUUCUUUAUUAGAUUCCUUUUUGUACCGGUACAAAACCAUACAAUCAUCACACCCACAAACAUUUCUAGAUAGAGAUUUUACAAAAGAAUAAGAGAUGGAAAUGCCUUCAAUUAAAUUUGUCUUCAAAGACGACAUUGAAACAAAGUAAAAGUGAUGUAUGUUUUUAAGUGGAAGGUGAAGGAGGAAAUACAAAAUUAGGUUAGAAUAAAAUGAUUAGGAAAAAUAACUAUUUAUUAUAUGCUUGAAGUCUUCAAAGACGACAUUGAAACAAAGUAAAAGUGAUGUAUGUUUUUAAGUGGAAGGUGAAGGAGGAAAUACAAAAUUAGGUUAGAAUAAAAUGAUUAGGAAAAAUAACUAUUUAUUAUAUGCUUGAGAUACAUAUAUACUAAUAUGAUAAACAUGUACUAUAUUUAACUAAAUAUAACCUUAUAAAACAACUACAUAAUUUUUAAAUUAAAAAAGAUUCGUAUAAUAUUCAUUUUAAUACUUAAUUCAAAAACAAAAAUAUGUAAGAUUUGUUUAAUGCACAUAAUUAAAUAGACAACUGGAUAGUGAUAUGAUGCAUAUUUAUCCUAUCAUAAUAGAUAAAUAUAAAUUAUUAAAAAAAUAAUAUUCCUUUAUAUUUUUCAAUUUAGAAGGCAUAACUAGCCUGUCAAUACCAAAAAUUAUUUAUAGUCUUUUUAAUUAUAGUUUCUUUCUUUGUUUGUAUACCGUGUUUUGAAAACUAAAAUAAGUAAAUGUCAUCGGAAAAAUAUGAUAUAAUAUAUUAAUUAUUUUAAGUGUUUGAUAUACAUUUAAUAGUAAUUUUAUAAAUAUAAAUUAUAUUUAACUAUAAAUUAACCUUAUAAAAUAAUUACAUAAUUUUUAUAUUAUCAAUAGUUCAUAUAGUAUUCAUUUUAAUAUUUAAUUUAAAAACUAAAAUAUUUGGAAUAAUUUAGUGCAUAGAAUCAAAUAUAUAUAUAUAUAUAUAUAUAUAUAUAUAUAUAUAUAUAUAUAUAUNNNNNNNNNNNNNNNNNNNNNNNNNNNNNNNNNNNNNNNNNNNNNNNNNNNNNNNNNNNNNNNNNNNNNNNNNNNNNNNNNNNNNNNNNNNNNNNNNNNNNNNNNNNNNNNNNNNNNNNNNNNNNNNNNNNNNNNNNNNNNNNNNNNNNNNNNNNNNNNNNNNNNNNNNNNNNNNNNNNNNNNNNNNNNNNNNNNNNNNNNNNNNNNNNNNNNNNNNNNNNNNNNNNNNNNNNNNNNNNNNNNNNNNNNNNNNNNNNNNNNNNNNNNNNNNNNNNNNNNNNNNNNNNNNNNNNNNNNNNNNNNNNNNNNNNNNNNNNNNNNNNNNNNNNNNNNNNNNNNNNNNNNNNNNNNNNNNNNNNNNNNNNNNNNNNNNNNNNNNNNNNNNNNNNNNNNNNNNNNNNNNNNNNNNNNNNNNNNNNNNNNNNNNNNNNNNNNNNNNNNNNNNNNNNNNNNNNNNNNNNNNNNNNNNNNNNNNNNNNNNNNNNNNNNNNNNNNNGAGAGAGAGGGGAAGUGAGAUGCCAAGCGAAGGACAAUGUAAUAAGUAUAUGGUAAAUAUAUGAUAAAUAUCAAAUAAAACUAUAUAUAUAGUAAUAUGAGUAGUAGGAGAUACAUAUAAAUAUAUGAUAUACUAUAUAUAAAUAUAUAUAUAAUAUAGUAUAAUAUAUAUAUAUAUAUAAUAAUAAUUAUAAUAUAUAUAUAAUUAUAUAUAUAUAUAUAUUAUAUUAUAUAUAUAUAUAGUAUAUAUAAUAAUAUAUAUUAUAUAAAUAUGGAUGUUGAUAUGAUGAUUAUUUAUCUUAUCAUAAUAGGAUAAAUAUACAUUUUGUUUUAUGUAUUUAUAAUUUUUUUAUCUAAAAUUUAUUCAUAUUAAAAAUGGUUCGUAUGGUUAUUUUUGUUAAAAUAUUUUAAUUAAAAACUAUUUUUUUAAAUUCAUCUAGUAUACAAAAUUAAAUAGACAACUAAAUAAAAAUAUAAUAUGAUAAUGAUGUGAUAAAUAUCAUACGAUAAGAACAUGUUGCAAGAAAAAUAUGAUAUAUUUUAUACGAUUACAUAAUUUUUAUAUUGAAAAUGGCACAUAUAUUAUUCAUUUUAAUAUUUAAUUUAAAAACUAAAAUAAUGUGGAUCCUUUUAGUGCAUUGAAUUAAACAACGCUAGAUAAGAAUAUAAUGUGAUGUUAGCAUGAAAAAUAUGUAUUCUAUCAUAAUAUAUGGGUACAAGUUGUUGAUCUAUGAUUAAAUCUCAAAAAACACUAUUUAUUUUUUAUAUUUUUCAUAAUUUAGAAUACAUACCUAACAUGCAUUGCCAAAAAAAUGUUGUAGACUUUAUAAUAUAGUUUUCUUUUUUAGUUUGUACACAUUGUUUUAAAAAACUAAAAUAAUUUUUAAUCAUGUAGUGCAUAAAUUUAAAUAUACAGAUAGAUACAAAUACAUCUUAUAUCUAACUACAAAAUCAACCUUAUAAAAAAAUCACUUAAUUUUUAUAUUAACAAUGGUUCAUAUAAUAUUCAUUUUAUUAUUUAAUUUAAGAGUUUAAUGAUGAUAUUUUGAUCAUAUAAAGUUUUUUUUACACUGUCAAAUAGGAGUAUAUUAUUUUAUCAUAUUAUACAAAUACUUUAAAAAAUUUAAUUUGAUUUGAUGAUGCAUGAUCAUCAUUGAUUAUUAAUGUAAAAUAAAUUUACACAUCAUCCCUUUCCUUUUAAUCUAAAAACUAAAAUAUUUUGGAUUGAUAUGGACAGCUAUAUAAAUAUAAGAGUAUCAUAUAAUAUUGAUAUGAUAAAAACAUGUCAUAAAAAAAUAUCAUUAUAUAGAGAGAGAGAUAAUUCUAAAAUUAACCUACUAAAAAAUAUUUUAUAUAAUAUUCAAUUUAAUAUUUAUUUUAAAACUAAAAUGUUUUGGAUUUGUUCAAUGCACAAAAUUAAAUAGACAGAUAGAGAAGAGUAUAAUAUAAUAGUGAUACGAGUUGUCAUAAUAGAAUAUAUAUUUUAGUAUUUGUUUUUUGUCUUUAUGAAAUUUUUUUCAAUUUUUUUUUAAAUUUAUUUAUAUUGAUAAUGGUUCAUAUAAUAUUCUUUUUUAUUGCUUUUAAUACUCAUAAUAGAAUAAAUAUUUAAGAUUUAAUUAUAAUUUUGCUCCUUCUAUUUUAUUUAUUUAAAAAUUUAUUUUUAUAUUUUAAAUUCAAAGUGUUUUAUGCCUUCUAAAAUUUUUGCACGUAAAAUAGAUGAUGGGUCUAUUUUUUAAUAAUAUGUAACUUUUUUUCUUUAAGUGUCUACAUAUGAUUUUUGAUCUUUCAUUCACAUUUUUCAUUAAACCGAUGGCAUGUUAGUUUUUUUAAUAAUGCCUAAUUUAUAUUUUUUAUUUUUAAAGUUUCACAAAUAUUUUUAUAUAAUGAUUUGCAAUGGUUCAAAGUGACAUGUCAAUUAAAAAUUAAUAUAUCAAUUUUAAAUGUAAAAAAAUGAGAAAGAACCAAAAUAAAUCGAAUUAGAAAUAUGGGGCAUAGUUACCUGAAUCAUCUAAAAUAUAAGAUUAAAACUAUAAGGCUUAAAUGAAGUUUUAUUCCCCUAUUUUAUAUUAUUUAUAAAAUUAAUCUCCAUAUUUUAAAUUCAAAUAAUUUUGAUUAGCCUAAUAUUCUUAUAUUAAAUAUUGAUGAAAUGUUAUUUUUUAAUAACAUUUAACUUAUAUUUUUUCUAUCUUUGAUUUAUUUAUGGUUUUUCUCUUUUUAUUUUAUCUUGUUCGCGAAAUUAAUUAUUUUAUUUUAAAUCCAAACAUUUUUUAUUUUUUUAUAUUAAUUUUGCAUUUAAAAAUAAUGAUAUAUUUAUUUUUAAAUGAUGUAUCAUUGGUGAAACGCGAAAUACUAUUAAAAUUUAAUUGAUAUAUACGGACAAUGUAAAUCUUUUUAACUCUAUCAAAAUAGGAAAAGUACACGUGAUAAGAAAAAUAUAUUAUAAUUAUUUUAUCAUUUAACUUAAGUCUUUGAUACAUAUACAUUUAAUAGUAAUAUGAUAAGUAUAUAUACAUUUAACUACAAAAUUAAUAUUAUAAAACAAUUACAUAGUUUUAUAUUGAAAUGGGUUAAUAUAAUAUGCACUCUAAUAUUUAAUUUUAAAACUAAAAUAUUUUGGAUUCAGUUAGUGCACAUAAUUAAAUAGACAAUUAGAUAAGAAAUAUUAUUUGAUAGAGAUAUGACAAAUAUUUAUCAUAUCUUAAUUAAUUAAUUAAUGAGUAUAUGCUGUAAUUUACCAUUCAAUUUCUACAAAUAUUUUAUAUUGUCAAUUAAUAAUGUCAAUUAAUAAAAGAUGUAUAUUUCGCUAGAUCAUAACUUUAAUUUUAAAAUAUCACAUAAUAAUAUAGUUCAAUAUUAUUAUGAUAUUAGAUGAUGGUGUAAGCAUUAACUUCAAUUUUUUUUUAUAUUUAUCAUAAUUUAUCAGCAAAUUAAAAUUUGAAAUAUGGUUUUCUUUGUUUUCGGUUGGUACACAUUGUUUUGAAAUCUAAAAUAUCUUGGAAUCAUUUUGGAACCUGAUCAUUAUUGGCCAUCCAAUCACCCUAACAUUCAUUCAACAUCAUUUCAUAUUCAUCACAAUCCAAAUCAACCAUUUAAACAUCCAUCCAAUCCAUGUUACAUGUAGUUGGUUCAUACUUGAUUUUUCAACUUUCCAUGACUUGAUCCACCCACCAAUUUUACCUAAAAUCAUUCCACAAAUGUCCAAAAUUCAUUUCCCAUCAUUAUAUGAUCAUUUUAGGUCAAAACAUCCAUCAUUGUGGCUAGAAAAGCAAGAAAUCACAAAAACCCUAAAACUAGGUCAUGUUGGUUGGUCACAUUUUGUCAAGAAUGGCCUAUGGGAAGUUCCAAAGACCAUAACUUCUUUAUUUUUCAAGAUUUUUAAAUUCCACUUUGAGCCAAAUGUCAUAAAUAACUUCCUCUCCAACUUUGUUUCAAAUUCCAAUACCUAAUUCAUUGAGGAAUGGGUUCAAUGUUUCUAUUGACCAAGCUGGUACAACAUGCCUACCAUGCCCUAAAAUCAGUCAAAAUUUGCAAAUUCAUUCACCAAGUUACCAAACUAUUUCAAUAUGAUUCCAAUGGUCCCCAAACACAUUGCGUAUGGUAUUGUGGUGUGAUUUAAGGUCAACUUGCAAGCCAAAACUCCUCACAAAGAAAAACCCAACCCCAUGUGCAAAAUUAGAAUUUUCCCAAAGUAGCAAAAAACAUAUCCUGCAGCAGACCAUUUCAGUGCCUUUGUUGGUUCCAAAUCAAUGCAAAGGAUCAAAACUAACUUGUAUGAGCUGCAAGCAAGGUCAGGACAUAAUCGUUGCAUUUUUUCCCAAAUCAACACCAAGCAUGCUUCAAGUCACAUGCCAAUCUGAACCAAGACACCUCAAUCUCCCUCCAAAACCAUCCACACACCUUCCUUAUAAAUAUGUGAAGGUGUUCCACUUCAGAAGCACACUGAAACGGGCCCCCAUCACGUUCUGACUUUCUCCCUCAAACCUCCAUUGACAGAACUUUAAGUUUUCUGUUUCAGAACUUUUCAACCCUCAAUCUCUGCCCAGAAACACUCCCCACACAUCAUUCAAACUUCCCAAAUACUCAACCACCCUUCCCUGAGCUUCAACCGACCUGAGCUCAGUCAUCGGAAAACUCACCUGAGAAAACUUUAAAAAGGGUGAAAUACUCAUUUCCAUCUUUGAAACAAGUUCCCAAUCUCUUCGAAAUCAUCAAUUGAACAUUUCCCCUAACCUUUUAGCUUUGAUUGCUUAGUUUCCAGAGUUUAAUUUCAUUUCUAGGUCAACUGUGUUCUUCAUUUUCGUGAUCCAAACCUCGCCACUCAGAGCCAAUCAAUGGCUCAUGAGUGGGUAUAACACUUUGUUUAUGAUCAUACAACAUGUCUUAAUGCUUAAAAGUGAUUGGAAACUCUUGAUUUAGAGUUUUGAUUCUGAGUGUUUGAAGGUUGAAGACGAUUGUUGCCCGCGUUUUUUUGAAUUUGAAUAAUAGUGCUGUCACUUUGUGAUUGGUUUAUUUGCGCGUGUAUCUCAUUUACUUUGCAUUUUUAUUAUUUAUUUGUUGACUACGCUAUGUUGACACGACUGGGCCAUUGGCCUAGUGGGUGAGGGGGUCAAUCCCCCCAUGACCCUAAGGUCAGGGGUUUGACCCCCAACGUUUGCAAGUUCCAUUUUCCCUUUUUUCACUGUCAUUUUAUUUAUUUUAUUUUUUCCAUUUUAUUUUCUCUUUUGAUUUUAUUUUUACCCCCUUAUUUUAUUAUUUUAAAAAUAUGUUGAACAUCAACCCCCCUUAUUUUAGCCUCUAGAAUUUAAUGGUGACUUUAUUUAUUUUAUUUGGAUUAUUUUUUAUAGACUUUUGGAGUCUUGAAAUGAAGGACUAAUGAAAAUCACUUAAGUCAUGAUAUUUUUGGUUUAGGGUUGGUAAAAACCUUCCAUACUUCAAACCUACCAUUAGAUGACCAUGAGUUCAUCCAUGGUACUUUGAAGUAUGGAUAGGUUGCCCCUAUUUCAAACAACUUGGUCAUUUGACUUAUCGUCUAAGUUCUAUUCUGUUAACAUGGAUUUAUCUGAUAAUUUUAGACUUUGAUUGUUUAUGCUAACCCACUAACCCUUCUAUGCUUUUGGUUUAUCAUAUUGACUUGUUCUCACUAACCCUUUACUUACUUGUUUAUAUCAUGCUAACCCUCUAACUUAUUACUAUCAUAUCUUGUUCAUAUAAUUUAUUAACAUGAUCUUGGUCAUAUAACCUGUCAAUAUAACCUGUAAACAACUAAAAUCAAUCCUUCAAUUUUGGGUUGUAUAGUCUUCUCUUUGUCAAUCUAUUGAUAUAUGGAUUUGAGGUUGAACAACUUUCAUUGUUACAAAUCUAGGGUAAGUUGAUUCGUUGAUCAUCUUCCUUACUUUGCAUCAGUGAUAAGUUAUCCCUCGAUGCGCCAUAUUUUGAAUCUAUUGAAAAGCAAGAAUACCCAUAAAAUGAUUCAAUCAUAGACAAGUGAACUCUAAGGAGGUUGCCAACAAAGUUCUUCCUAAAUGGAGACGUGUUUCUAAGAUAAAUUAUGACAUGGUCCUGCUCGAUUGUCUGGAUAUACACAAAGCAAACAUGCUCAUCAAAGAAAUCCAUGAAGGAUCCUUUGGUACCCAUGCCAAUGGUCAUGCAAUGGCCAAGAAAAUCCUGAGGGCAGAUUGUUACUAGUUUACCAUGGAAACUGAUUAUUUUCAUUAUGCCAAGACAUGCGAUAAAUGCCAAAUUUAUAUCGACAAGGUGCACAUGCCACUCACUCCUCUAAAUGUCCUAAUAGCGCCAUGGCCAUUCUACAUAUGGAUAAUAGACAUGAUCAGACUCAUCAAACCAAGAGCUUUGAACGGAGACAAAUUCACACUAGUUGCCAUAGACUACUUCACCAAAUGGGUCGAAGAUGCGUCUUAUGGCAAUGUAACUAAACAAGUGGUUGCCUGCUUCAUUAAGAAAGACAUUAUCUGCCGUUAUGGGAUUCCCAGCAAGAUCAUCAUUGAUAAUGGGUUAAAUCUAAACAACAAAAUGAUGAAAUUGUUAUGUAAAAGCUUCAAAAUAAAACACCACAACUCAUCACCAUAUCGGCCUAAGAUGAACGGCGCCGUAGAAGCAGCAAACAAAAACAUUAAAAAAAAUCUUCCUUAAAUGGUAACAACUUACAAGGAUUAGCAUGAAAUGCUUCCCUUUUCACUGCACAACUAUUGGACGUCGGCCUGCAUGUCUAAAGGGAUAACCCAUUUCUCUCUGGUCUAUAGAAUGGAAGCAUUACUUCUUGUUGAAGUCGAAAUCUCCUCGCUGAGAGUGUUGAUGGAGACUAAGCUGGAAGAGGUCACAAGCGCGCAAUCCACGAUGGACUCUAGUCAGCACGCCACAAACUUGGUAAUUCAAACCAAUGCUAAUGAUUAAAUCAUUUUAAAAGGAUCAUGUUGCUCUAAACACGCCAACUCACCACCGGAGCUACAACUCUGAUCUCCUUCUCAGGCGAGUCUCACUGGACUGGUUCAGUCAUAACCAUCAACAAAAUUAAAAAGAAGGACAUGAUUUCAAAGUAAAAAUGACAAUGAGCUCGAAUUUGGCCUUAAUUCAUCCUAACUCCAAGUAUAUUAAAAGAUACAAGGAGUUGAAAUUUGAGGUACACGAUCUGAGUUGCUUCGAUUUGACGUCAAAGCAACUCAAUCUUGUUGCCUACUGUCAUACGGUGAACUGGACUUUUUGUGUUUUUUAUCGCAAUGUCGCGGUUAGCAAGAGUCGCCACCGACUUUUCUUUUAUCCAAUAAGGAAAGGUGGAAAAGAACAGGAAAGACCUUAAUUUGUUGAUUUGGGUUCGGGAGGUACAUUAUACAAAGGGAAGGUGUUAGCACCCUUUGUAUCCAUGGUUAUCCAUGGGCUCUUAAUUGCUCGAUCACUUAUAUUAUUUUGUCUAAAAAGUGUUUGUGAAUUGUUUGGAAAAUUGUUUGAAAAGAGAAUUUAACUUUGUAAGAUCUUGUAUGAAUGUAUACAAGUGGUUAUCCCGUUUUAGUUUUGAAAAUUGUUUAGAAAAAUAUAACUCGGUAAUGAUUCUAGUAUGAAUGUAUACCAAGUGUGAUUUUCUAAAGGCAUUUUGAAAGGUGUGAGGUGCAAAAAAAGUUUUAAGUUGUGAGCCAGCAAAUUAAGAGUUAUACCGACCCAAGGUCUUUACGGGCAUUUCCUAUCCUUAUGAGGGUAAAACUGUCCUUAUUAUUGAGAAAUAAGUAGUUUUAUCCUUGGAUGUAAAGGGUCAUCGUAGGGUCAUCGAUUGGUCAUUGAAGGCAACAGUUAUGAGGAUACCUUAGCAUUCGAAGGGACUAUCAUCAUUUAACCGUAGCAACAUCGGAGGGUCAUCGAGGGACAAGUUGUAUAUUCGAAGGCAACAUCCGAGUGACUAUAAAUUUAUUUAUGAUGAUUAACCAAGGGUCUUUGCUAAGGUAUCCCCACGUUCGCGGACAUGACCGUAAAUAUCGUAUCGUAGGCAACAAAGAGAGGUCCAAGAUCACUUAUUCAAAGGCAAAGUUUACAAUUAAUUAUAUAAUUAGGAUGAAACUCCACAUUAAAAUUAUUAAAAAUAAUAUAUUAAAAAAUUAAUACAUUAGAAAUUAAUAAUAAAAAAUUAUUAGGGUGAAACUCCACAAGGGUCCCACAAAUAAGUGGAAUACUAGCCAAUAACCUUUUCCUGGGAUAUGUGACCUUUACGAAACUCAAAAAAGAAACAUGUCAGAACACCAAUCAGGGUGCAAUCGAAGAUUACCCGGAGAAAUAUCACAACAUAAAUAGGAUAGGAUGAAUAAUGCAUGGCUAUUAUAAAACAUAAAAAAAAAACAGACUAGAAGAAUCAGGUACUGUCUCGUUCGCCUCUGCCUGCCUAGCGAAGGCCACGGAUUUGAAUUUGAAAACAGCCCCAUGUUAGGAACUUUGAAUUUUAUGGCAUUUUAUCACAGGAAUAACAUGGUCAAACAUUCAGGGUAUUCAGGCAUAUUUAAAUUCCCAUACGAAAGCAAAUUAUAUAUCAACAUUUAAUCAUGAUGCAUUAUAUAUGUAGAUAUGCCAAUUGAAAGUAUAACAAUAGAGAUACGCAAACCUGUUGCCAAUUCAAGGUUGAAGGGAUUGACCACUUGUAGUAUCGGAAUAAGUUAGGCAGCGGGGAUUGGACGGCGAUGGCUUCGUGCAGAUGGGUUGCUUUCAGGUUUCUUUACUCUGAAUUCCGGUAGGCAGGGUUCCUAUGCAAAGUUCUAUCCGUCCUUCUCUGUUCUCUCUCUUUCUUUUUCCUCAAGGUUUUGUUCCAAGGAAACCUCAGAGUGUUUGCUUCUCUUCCUUCUUUUCUCCAGUGAAUCUCCCAGUGAACUCCAAGUCUCUCCUAGUACUGAAACUUCAGUAUUUAUAGAUUAAUUUCGUGGGUAAUGGGCUUGGAAUGAGGGAGACCAAGUCCAAAAUAAUUUGUUAUAUUUUAUUUAUUAUAUUUAUUUUAAUUAUUUAAUUAUUAAUUAAUUAAAAAAAAAAUAUCUUUUUUUUUUUUUCGUUUUUUUUUCGUUUUUUUUUUUUUUUUUUUUUUUUUUUUUAGGAAAAAUGAUGGGUAAUUUUUGGGUAUGACAGCUGCCCCUGUUCAUAUCUUGAACCGAGAGAGUUAGGAUGGCGUGUAUGCCAUUCGUGGUCUGGAGUGGAAGAUUAUUGACACUAGAAUGCCCCAAAAAUUUGCACUUGAGAAUCGACAGUUGGUCUUGAUGGAGAUGGGCUUAAAGAUGCCAUCCGGGAGGUUGAUGACGAAAGCUUCAAAUCGAGCCGUACUUAGGCCAAUUUGAAGACACGGUGGCCACACUGGGUGCUACAUUAGACCGAAUAAUGAGCAUCCAUUAGGCUGCCGACUUCGCUGGGGAGUCGGAGUGUGUCAUAUGCUGUUGGGAUAAAGGAUCAGAAGGACCAUACGCUAGAUGUUAUCUGAGUUGCAGAAUGAGCCGUACGUUAGGCUGAUCUGAUGACGAAAGGGGUAGUCGUACGUUAGACUACACUUCAGAAAUGAUAGUAAAAUGUUAUUCUUCAGAAGUUGCAAAGUUUUGAGGCGGGGGUUUGCAAUGUGGGGCAUUCGUGAGGAGUGUUCAAGAUAUCUUUUCCACCUCCAGACCAAACGAAUCGGCAUACACGACCAUUCCUUAAACCUCUUCUCGCGUUCAAGAAUAGUAUUGGAAAACAGAGUGGCAGCGUCGAGUCCAUACCACGCAAAAAGGUCCGAUAAUUUAGUCCCCCAUCAUUUUAGCACUCCACGAAAAAAACCAGCAAAAAAAUAGAAAAAAAAAAAAAAAAAAAAAAAAAAAAAAACAAAAAAAAAAAAAAAAAAAAAAAAAAAAAAAAUAAAAAAAAAAAAAAAAAAAAAAAAAAAAAACGAAAAAAAAAAGAAUUUUUUUAAUUAUAAUUAAUUAAAAACCCUUAAGAAUAUUAAUUAAAAUAAAUAAAAUACGAAAUAAAGAAUGAAAUAUAACAAAUGUAUCCUGUGUUCUGGGGUACUUAGGGGUCUCCUCAUUCCAAGCCCGGGCGAAAUCUAAUGAAUUUGUGCGAAAAUUAACCACGACGACCCCAUUAAUUCAGAUUUAAAUACUUGAAGUUUCGGUAUAAGUUUAGUGACUAGGGAGAGACUUGGAUAGUUCGUACACUCAAGGGACUCCACCUGUCCAAGGAAUUCAACUUGGAGGGAUAGAGUUAAAGUGCGUACGAUUAAGAGGAAGAGGAGAAGCCAAAACACUCUUGAGGUUUCCUUGGAACAAAAGCCUGAGGAAAAAGAAAGAAGAGAGAGAACAAGAAGGACGGGAUAGGAAACUGUUGGUUAAUGAGGCAUUGGAACCCUGCCUGACGCUUACCCGGUUGUAGAUGCCAAAGAAAUUCGAGGGUAGUAGAAAGAAUAACCGAUACCCUGAAAGCGAUAAAGCCACCAGUCUUGCAUCGCGGAGAGCAGCUAUUCGUGGCCGUCGCAACUCCCGCUGCAAACGCUUCAGAACUUGGUAUUCUGUACGCGCAUUACUUGACAUACCGGUGUGGUACUAAUUUCCGCCAGUUGCAAGAAUGAGCUCCUCGCAACCUGAAGUGGCAUAACAGGCUUGUGUUGUUGAUCAUGCGUAUAGUAAGUCUGCUAUAAGUUAGUCAGUUACUGUUCAAUUGGCCAGAACUCUCAGCAUUAAGUACUAUUUACAACUCGCCAUACAUGAUUAAAUGCUUUGAGUAAUAUAAUUUGCUUUUCGUUGGGAAUGUACUUGAAUAAUAUGCACGCCUGAAAUACCCGGGCCUGAACUGCAUCUGAGGAUUUGUAUGACGCAGUCGCCCAAAUGGGUCGUUAUAUUCCUGUGGUAUUAAAAAAUUCCAUAAGAAUUCUCUAUAAGAGAGUGUUGCUGCUAAACAAAGUCAGAAUGGAUGUUAGCGGUGCUCGGAUUUUCAAUAAUUCCGUCAAUAAUCCGUGGCCUUCCGCUAGGCGAGAAGUUGUAGAAUGAGCCCGUCCGUUAGGCCUGCAGAGUUGGCUAUCCCUGAAGAAAAAAAGGAAACGAAGUAGUCGUACGCUAGACGAGUACCUAACCUACCGAUUCCUCUGCUAAAAGUUUGCUACUUCGUUGUUUUUUUGAACUGGUUCUUUCAAAAUAAGCCAUGCAGUCCUUUAUGCAUCUAUCCAUCCCUGUUUUAUUUAGGAUUUUUGGUGAGUAUCUUCUCCAGGAAAUUGUAAGUCCGUUCGAUUGCAUCUCACUGCAUUUGUUUUUAGCAUGCAACUGUUCUUGCUUUUUAGUUAGUUGUUCGUAAAAAUGUUGGGCAUCGACUUGAGUAACGCCAGGAAAGUCGAGUUAUUGUGGCUAGUGUUAGUGUCCACGGUUAUCUUUGAGAAUCAGAUGAAAACCCGUACGUUAGGCUGUAUCUGUAUGAGACCGUGUAUACCCUUGUAUGAGUUUUCACCCUAAAUUUAAUAUUUUUUAAUGUCUAUUAAUUUCUAAUGUAUUUAAUUGUUUUUAAACUUAGCUCCAAUUUAAUUUUAUAUAAUGAAUUUUUAUGGGGAGAUUUGAUGCCCUUCACAUUAAUUAAUAGAUAAUGUCCCAACAUCCUCUGUAUUUAGAAACUGUUGGGCCUUUGAGAUUAUCCAGGUAUCAGUUUGAUUGCUCUAGCUCUAUGUUAUUACCUUUUUACGAUCUCACACUGAGAACCUUGAUUUAUUCUUGAAAUAUCGUGGUUCAUAUGUGCACCUCCUUGAAUGUGAUGAUAAAAGGUGUCUGUCGAAAUGAAACUUCUACUUUGACCUCUAUCCAGGGCGAACGUGGGGGAGAUACAUACAUUUUAAAGCACACCUGCACCCACAUAGAAAAAAUCGGUUAAAUCAUCAUAAAAUUAAAUUAUAGUACAGCUCUCGAGCUUGAUAUGUUCGCCUUAUUCGUACAUUAUGCAACUUAUUGCGAUCCGCUAGCGAUGUGUUCCCCUUCGUCUUAUACUUAUUGAACUCUAUGGGAUACUGUGUUUAGAUAUGAAUUGAUGCCCUCUCCCGUUCGGUUAGCAUUGCGUAAUGAAGGAUAAAUGUCCGUACAUAGAACUUGUGUGCCGUUUCUCAAUGACCAAUCUCCGGUAUGGACCCUUUAGCGAAGUUCUGAUUGUGAGCGAACCCUUUUACUAAUCCUGCAAAGGAUAAAACUAGGGCUAUAAAUAAAUCUUUUCUCCCACAAUCUAAAUAAGUGGACUAGUUUUUUAAGCCCAAUUUUUGAGUGGGUACUCCACGCGAAGAUGCCCUGGCCUAAAGACUCUUUCUCCGGCUUUGUGGUCGGGGAUUGCCUUUGGAAUUAUACUCUUCAAUUUGUCUAGUGCUGGUCUGCGUAGCAACUCUCAAGAAUACUCAUUGUUUUUUUUGGCACUCACACCUUUUCAAAACGCCUGGUACGAUGAAAUAGUCACCCACCUUUGCGGGUAUACAUUUCAAUACAUCGUCAGAAAUUUCUAUUACCUGAGGUAAUAUGAUUUGUUCAAAAUUUUCAAAACUAAAACAGAAACACGGCUGGUAUAACCACUUUGCAUGGGGGUAAACAGAGAAUUGGAUAGCGGUUCAUUGGAAGCAUGAUUAACUUUCUUGAUCCUGAAAAAGUGGUAGUAAUGGCUAAUUGCUAUUCUAGUGCAUGUAUUUUGGUAAACCAUCAGUCAUUUCAAUGGCCUUUAAUUCAAAUUAAAUCAAUGACUUUUACGCAACCAAAACAGAAAGUAAACACAAACGCAUCUUUUUUUUGAAAGAGGUUGUAUUGAUUGAAAGGGGCCUUAACAGAAAUUUGUGACAAGGAGACGAAUCUAGUAGAGGAAUGUGAAAACAAAGAGAAAGCUAUGGGAGAGAAGUCCUAUUGAUUUUAAAGCCAUAUGUCUUAUGUCUUUCGACAUUCAUCCCUUGGUCGUCGGAUAGAGUGAUUGGCUUAGUAGUCCCUCGACUUGAUGGGAAAGUUGACUGAGAAAGGGACAUGUCAUACGCGGUUAUCCUAAUUUUUGCCGAGCCUUUUCAGGUUUCAGUCCCAGGGAUACCUUUUUUGUCCCAAGCCGCCUUUUCAGGUUUCGACUUCCGGGUGUACAUUUUUUGUUAUUAUCCCUAAUUUUUUGCCCGACCCUUUUGGUUCGCCGGGAGGCCCUUACUUUUGCCUAAGUACGUCGAUUAGCGGGGUUCUCUUUUAUGAACGUCAGUAUUUUUGAAAAUAUUGUUCGCGUUACGGGAUGUGGAGUCUUCACCAUCCAUUGUAGCGGUUCAUGGUUCACUGAGAAUAUACCUUCUUAAACUACAAAUGGCCUCGUAUGUGGAGUCAAUUUGCCUCUGGGGUCCCAGUUGUGGUGGAUGAUGCGUUAUUGAAUUACCAAGUCGCCAAUUUGAUGCACUUGUCCUCUUGCUUUUGGUGAGAAUUCCUCGGUCAAUGCGUUCUGAUAAUAAUCUGCCGAAUACAGCGCCAAGUCUCUUCUCAAUCCAAAUUCAAUACUCUAAAUGUAAUCAUUUGACAAAUCGCUUAAACUACGUUUCUCAGAAAACUAAUUUUGCUCCAUUACAAUCUCACAAACGUACCCUUUUUCUGGAGGAGCUCUAAAAAAUAGACCACCGCUUCAAUAGUGAUCUCUGAGCAAUCAUAUGAAGAAGGCCACAUGAUAAAUACUCCAGUGAGCUAUAUCACCCAAGGCGUGUGCUAACGACCUUCUCUUGAUUUUAUAAAAAUCCGGUUUCCCACUCCUCUCCCAGAACCCAAUAGAUCAUAUAAAGAAAAAUUGUAGGAUAGCUUGUGCCAUGUUCUCUCUCUUCCACCUUUCCCUUUAUUCCCUGAGAUAAGAUUAGACCACAGGUCAAAGUACGAUAACCCAUGAAAGUUUAAGCAGGAUAUCGACUCUUGCUAGAGCUCAGCGAAUCUAUCAUGCGGACUUUCAAAAUCAUUCUCUAAGUAUAAGCCUCCGUCAAUGCUUUCUUAUCCGUAUAAUCUCUUUAAAUAUUCUUAAUUAAGCCGCUUCUACAGCGCCGUUCAUCUUUGCCGGUACGGAGAAGAGUUUAUGGUGUUUUAUUUGAACUGCCCCGUGCGAGUUCCUAUGACAGUAGGCAACAAGAUGAGUUGCAUUUGGACGUCAAAAUACGAAGCAACUUAGAUCGAUGUGUACCCUCAAAUUUCAACUCCUUGUAUCUUUUAAGUUAUACUAUGGAGUUAGGAUGAAUUAAGGCCAAAUUCGAGCUCAUUUUCAUUUUNNNNNNNNNNNNNNNNNNNNNNNNNNNNNNNNNNNNNNNNNNNNNNNNNNNNNNNNNNNNNNNNNNNNNNNNNNNNNNNNNNNNNNNNNNNNNNNNNNNNUGUGCCAUUUAGCUAGAAACCUUAACUUAGGGAUGACUUUGCAUGACAACAUCUAGGCUCGAGUCGUAGUCUCCCUAGUGUUGUGUCUCCCUCUGUUAUCUGGUUAGGCUAGAUCCUUGUCCCUGCGUAGGGGAACUACAUCGCCCUGAUCUUCACACCAGAUGAAGCAUGUAGGCAGGAGAUUGAGCUGAUCUCUCCGGGCGCCUUUUUCUUUUCUUUUGUGUGAGUUGUUUGACAGUUGCUAGGCUCGAGUGCUUGACUCCUUAGCAAUUUGUCGCCCUUUUUCUUUUCCAACCCUUUGUGUCUUAACCACCCUUGUGUGUGUUCUGGUCGGAGUCCGACAUAAGUCCAGCGAUUGGCAGUUGGUUUCCUGUGUGUGUUUGUUGGUUCGGAUGCUGAUAUAAGUCCAGCGAUUGGCAUUCAGGCUCCACGUUCGCCUGUGUCUUGUUUGCUUGUGUGCGUGUCAGCCGAGCUACGAAUGCUCUGAUUCUUCUCUCGUCCGAGAAGAUACGUAUGCAUAGGAUGCGAUAUCCUAGCGAGCAUGUGUCGUUUCCCCAGUCCGAACUAAUUUGCCCUCCUCUCUUGGGACUAGCAUAACAUAUUGCAUAUCAUUUUUAGGUCAUUAGGCAUUGCAUAUUGCAUAUCAUGUGGUUACAUUGUGCAAGUCAUCCUCCUAAGUCUUGAUCAGAAGAUAAGAGGUGGAGAUGCAGGCCUAGGGUUUUAUUGACUGAUCAUUAGCUAUCUGAGGAUUGGGCUAUGAAUUAGGGUUUCUCAAGGAGAUUGGUCUUCAUCUUGGUUGAAGUGGUACAUCAUCAUCAUCAUGGUCUUGAUAUCAUCCAAGAGAUUCAGAAGAUUGAUCAGAUACUUUGAGAUUAGGGUUUUGACCGUUGGUCAACCCUAAUCAGUUGUAUUGGGCCAAUCAGGGCAUGGCUAGGAGAUGGGGUCUACAAUGGAUAUGGGGAUCAUCAUGUGAUUUUAUGGAGCUUAUUGAGGCUAGGGUUUCAUCCUUGAGCCAUUUCAUCAGAAGAUUGGGGCUCAGAUUGAUCAGUGCAUUGCCAAAUUCAUCUAUCAGUUGAAAAAGUCAACUGUGGUCAACUGUGCUUAAUUUUAUGGAUUUGGAGGUGGGAGAGAGUUAGAGACACUUCAUUCAUGUUGGAACAAGUGUUAUUUGACAUUGCAAAGCUCAAGAAUGAAGAAAAUAAAGUCAGAACAAAAAUUGCCAAAAAAAGAAAGUGACUUGUAAUGGAAGUUUCCAAAAAUGGAAAGUUUUUGACCACAAAAUUACAUAUCCAAGGAAGCUUCAAAUGAAAAUUUGUUCAACAUGAACGUUGUAGAUCUUGUUCUUACCUUUCCAAAAAAUCCAAGAACUUGAAAUUUCCAUGUAUGGUUGACAAGUUAUGGUCCAUUCAAUUUCAAAAAAGACCCAUAAUCAAAGUGGCAUAACUUUCACAUGGAGUGUCCAAAAUAAGUGAUCUUUUUAUGAGCAAACUCCAUUUAACAUGUACUUUAAUGGUGCAUAAUCAAAAUUCAUCAAAAAUGGUCAAUGCAAAAGGUCAAUUUUCAAGUGCACUAAUUAAAAUCCAAGGGCAAAAUGGUCCAAGUUGAGAAAUAAUUGGAAUUUUGGAAUGGGAGUUUUUGCAACACAUCACAAAUUCCAAAUAGAAAUGGUUUGAACUGUCAUGAGUUUUCAAGGAUCAAUAUUUGGCUAGGCUAUUUUUGAACUCUCACUUUAAGUACAAUUUUGGCAUGGCAUAGUGAAAAUGAGAAAUACAAGGCCAAUUGAUAUGGGAUCAAAGCCAACACAUUCCAAAUGGCAAUUAGAAGAUGUCUGAGCUGUCACCUUGCUGUCACAUAGCCCAAUGUGAAAUGUCAUUUUUGCCCUUGCACUCAAAUUGCACAUUAAGCUAAUUUCAUUUCAUUUGGUUAAUUGGUGAUUAGCAAAGUGAUUAGAGUGGAGUAUAAGUGUCUAAUUAUAACAGAAUGCUAAUCACAAUCACAAUUCUCAAGGUUUGUAACUACUUUUCCCUCCAUUUUCUCCAAGAUCCAUCAAGAACUUCAUCACUAUUUUUCAAGAUUUCUCCACGAAUUCUCCAUCAAUUGGCUUGGUUCUUUUUGCUUCAUCAUCCUUAUAUCUUCCUCUCCAUCUGUUUCAUCAAGUCGUUGCCUAUAGCAUCAAGAAUCUCCACUGCUCAAAGUAAGGUCAACAAUGGUGAUUGGAAAAUUCUUGCAAUUAGAGUAACUUUGAGCUAAAGCACGCAUUGCAUUCAUCUUCCACAACCUUGAUGUGCAUCUGUUUUGGACAAUUGGAGCAAGAAACCUCAAAUUCGAGCACUGCCAUCUCCAAGGUACCAAAACUCGAAUCUCACCAUUUCUUGAAUUGUGAUAUGCUUUUGGUAGUUUAUUCAUCAUAGAUCAUCAUGCUGUGCAUAGUUUGUGAAAUGAUUAACUGAUGAGUGAGAUAUCUUGAUUUUUAGUUUGGAUGUCAUUUAGGUUUUUGAUCGAUCCCGAUGAUACAGUUAGAAUUAGGUUAAAUAAGCUAUAUAUUUGGAAUCUAGGAGGAAGGACGGUUCUAGUGAUAUAUGGCAUGAGCAUUUUCAUUGAAAUUUGUUGUUCUUCAUUUCUGGAAUUUUUGAAGUUGUUCUUGAGGAAGAACGCUUCCAGAAGAGCGUUUGAUCUAGAAUCUCGCCUGGCCGUUUUUGAAUUUUGUUUCCCUCCAGCGCUAGCCAAUGAGCACGUGCCAUGGCAUUAAGUGGAGGCGACGUCGUUUUGGCGUUUUUGCUGAUAAUUACCAUCCGUGCCAUUAUCAUAUAAUUAUUUAUAUUAUUUCAUUUGCUUUUUCUUUUUUUAUUUCAUUUUGAGGUUUGAUCUUGUAAAAUUCAUAACUGAUUCAAAAUUCAUCCAAAUUUUGUGAAAUUUUUUGUGCCAUGCUCAUGAUAAUGUGUAGAAUUUUAUGAUGAUUUUUGUGAAAUUUUUGCACGUGUGGAAAUUUAAUUGGCCUAUUGAUUUUGUUCAUGUGUGCAUUUUGUGUAGUUUCACCAUAUCCUUCCUGAAAAUACUAUACUGUGUAAAGAAUCGGAUAAAAUUUUGUGCUUAUCUGGACUUGUUGAUGGUGAUUUCCAUGUAAGUUAUGAUUUUUUGGAUACUUGGUGAUGGAGAUAUGAUUUUUUUGAAUAGAGGUGUGACAAUUUGUGUCCACACCAAGCUUAGUCAACUUUCUGAUUUUAUUUGCCUGGGCCUAGAAAUGUUGAAUUGCUCCAUAUCUUUGGCGAAUGAAUGAUCAUUGAUAUGUCAAGAUAACAUGGAUUUUUGCUGAAUUUUUUGAUGUCAUUUUCUAAUGAUUGAUUAAUCUUUCUUCCUGUAGCUCAUUUUGUGAAUUUAUGUGACACAUGUUGGCAUUUUGCUUGUUGAAAUUCUCAUAAUGGUACUGGAUGAAGAUGAAAUUUGAUAGUUGAUUGUAGACACAUUGUGGGACAUCAUGCUUUUGGUCCCAUUCAUUUCUUAAUUGUUUUACUGUUUUAUGAAUUAUUGAAAUGGAUGCUGCUUGGAUGUCUGAAUUGGCUUACAUAAUUGUGUUCUGACUUUUUUGAUUUUCAUUGACCUAGCUUUCUUUUGUCCAAUUGAGCUGAAAUUGACAUGUUCUUGUUGAUUGUGUCCUGUUUAGGUGUGAAUAAUUUGAGGAUUUUUGGAAUGUUUUGGUAUGCCUUUGAUUGAAGGUCAUUCUGUUUGGACUUUUGUGUGUAUUUUGACCUAGUUGUGGUAUAUUGUGCAGAAUUGAUAUUGGUGAAUGAUAUGAGCAUGAGACCAAUUGCAUUGCUUUCUAUUUGUUUGAAUGUGAUUUUGGAUUGGUUUUGCUUGCUGUUUAGAUUUUUUUUUACCCUUUGGACCCUAGGCUUUGGCCUAGGGGUCUAUUUUCUCACAUUUGUGUGGAUUUCAGGAUGAAAUGCACAAUGCUUACAAGGAGAUUGUUCAAGGCAAUUUGAAUUGAGUUUGGUUGUGUUUAUGAACUAACAUACUUUGUUUUGUAGGAAUUGAUGCUUAGCUUAGGCUUAUAGCUUGCACUUGUGUGCAUUGACUUGUGUUGUCUGUAUAGAUUAAACAUUUGUUGUUACACUGUUUGUCUGUCUGAGUACUGAUGAAUCUUGAUUGAUUUCAGGUACAUUUAGUUGCUUACAGUUCUUUUAAGAACUUGCUUGAUGUGCUGCUGGUUUUUUAAACCAGUUAAGGUAGACUCUCUAUACUUCAUGUAGUCUGGAAGACUUGGCCUGUUACCUGGCCAGGCAACUGUCUGAAGUCCUCCUUAAGAGGCGAUGAUUGUGAUUGUUUACUUUUGUGCCAAGCAGGUAAAGACCUCUAUGAGGCAAUGGGCGGAUACCCAAGGGAUAUGCAAUCUAUCCCCGCUAUUCUGUGAGUCGUCCCUACUGCUCACACCACUGUGUUGAUGCAUUGGGACACAAACCCAAGAUCUUGUACUUUGUAACAGUGUGUUCAGAGUCUUGAGCCGUAGGAAGGGUCCCUCCAUUCUGGACCCACGCUCCUUUGUCUGAAGCUCUCCGUGGUCAGGAGAUAAGAGCUUGAAGUCUAAUCUUCACUCACCUUUCAAUCUGCUUCACCUUAGCCGCCUCAAUGGCAGGUUAAGAGCCGAAACUACCCCAUGUACAGAUGACUUGCUUCGGCAGUCAAACCCAUUGUUUGAGCCCACUUGAUUGGCUAUGUGUGUGUAUGUGAAUACUUGCUUGAAAUGCUUGUUUUUUGAUCUGUUGAUGCUUGUAUGCUUGUAUGCUUGCUUCUUUUCCUGGAUAGGAUUCAGCUUGCUGUUGUGCAAGUAGGUAGAACCUGAACUUUAGGGCAAUGAUGCAGGAUAACACUAGGCUCGAGUACAGCUCCCUGGUAGUGUGUCUUCCCCUUGGUUUCUGGCUAGAUUUCUUUCCUUUCAGGGGAACUACAUCGCCCUGAUCCUCGUUCCAGACGAGGUAUGUAGGCAGGAGACCGUGCGAGGUCUCUCCGGCCAUUUUUUUUUCCUUUUGGUGUGUGUGCUUGACAGUUAUAGGCUCGAGUUCCCGACUCCCUAUAACUUGUUGGUUGUUGUGUGCUCGGAAGCUGAUGUAAGUCAUCGGUGGCAUCCGGGUUCCAGUGUGCGUGUGUUUUUGGUUCGGAUGCUGAUGUAAGUCCAGGUGAUGGCAUUCAGGCUCCAUGUUGCUUGUGUUUGUGUUUGCUUGUUUGGCGUGCGUAAGCCGAACUACGACAGCUCUGAUUCUCGUUCCAGACGAGAUACGUAGGCAUAGGAUGCGACGUCCUAUCGAGCUCUCUCCCCCUUAACCCACCUGUGUUGUCUUCGGUGUGUGUUGUGUGUGAUGUUUUAGCAACCUUUUCUUUUCUUAGAGCGUGGAUCCCGUCGAGUUAUGACGGACGUGAGGGUGCUAAUCCUUCCCCUUGCGUAACCGACUCCCUUACCCUUUCUCUUUGGUCGCGAGACCAAUGUUUUUCCAGGUUUCUCUGAGCGUUUCCUUUCCCUAUCUUGGGAUAAAUAACGCGCAGUGGCGGCUCUGUGUUGUUUUUGUUUUAGCCCGCCGGUUGUUUUUUCGCGGAUGCGACACCUAAAAAAAGAGGUUACACACCUUUGUGGUUGCAAUGUCUCAUAAAUAGAAGACUAGUUAUUGAAAUUGUGCAAAAACUUUAUGGAAUACAUAACUCGUCAAUGAAGUCACAAUGGUAGUAUGUUCUCUUUCUUGUUUACUUAUUCCUUAGUUGGUCGUGUUGUCAGUGGAUGUGAUCCUCCUUUCAUCUGCUUGUUGGUUUAACUCGUCCACCGAAGGUUUUUCCUGUGCACCUUUAACCGAUGAUCGAUACAUGGUGGUUAACAUUUUUAUAGCUAUCGUCAUUUCGCGAUCGUAGAGAUUCCACCGUCUCCGAGGGGCAACAUCUUAUGAACGGUCAACUGAGUACUACCUUUAUUUAAAGGUAAACUUCGUUCUCCCCACUCCUCCAAAAUUUAUUCAAGAGGCGUGCUUCUAGAGGAUGUGGAAAUUAUUCCCCGAGAUUCAGCCAAAUUUGGCUUACUUUAAGAUUGUUGCCGAAUGAGGAUGAGAUUUCGUAAGGGCCUCUCCACUAAGUCAUUUUUUGGUUAGUAUGGACUAAGCCUGGAUUCUUUAUCUAUAAUACAACCUCAAAGUGAAUUUAUGAACUUAAUAAUUUAUCUUGGUAAGAAUUCCGAGCACAAACGUCUUAUACAAUAUUUCCCUUUGAGGUUGUCAGAAACCUAUGGCACCUUACUCUCGCCUAUUCUUUCUUACUAAGGCUGCAACCUUCGUUAUUCUGUGCGAGUAAGAUAUCGAAUUAUCGAAAGUCAAAGAUUUCUCACUAUUGUGUGUGUUUCUAUAUCUUAUUGGUGGAGAGUUUAUUACUUGGCUAUGACAAAUCAAAAGUUAUCACGAGGAGCUCAUCGUCUACGAGGCAUCAUGUAAACGUUUCACCAGUAACGAGAACUGUUAAAAUAACUAAUAGAUCUUCACUUAAUAUUCUUUGUAUCUUCUUGUUUCUCGAGUAUUCUAGUACAACUCGAUAUUUGGUUUUUGAUUCAGUAUCACUCUGCCAUCUAGAAGAGGUGUUUUGAUGACAAAUUGCCACUAGAAUUAACAAUGUUAUGGAUCUCAAUGGCGAGGAUCAAAUAUGGCAAAUUUGGAUCAGAAUACCUAACUAUUCACUUAAUAAAAAAUGUGUCAUGUGAUUCACGGCGGUAAUCACUACAAUCGACAAUAACUUUACACUCAAAAUUCUAUUUACCUCAUCGCAAUCUAGGAAUCCUGGUACCAUGCGGUCUUUGCUUAUCAUUUGGAGAUUACUCUCCAUAUGGUGGAAGUGCUCCGAUAUCAGAUCUACGUUGGAAAUUUUUAUGAUAUUCUUCUCAUGGAUGAUGGAUAAUUUAGGCGAUAUGAAAUUGGAAGGUUGAUCAAGGAUCUUCAGUGGGAUAUUGGAGGUGGUUUCCUCCAUUUCUUGACGAUUCUGGUAAGGAUUCAAUUUUAGAUUUAGGACAAUCCAUUUGUGGAUUUUUCACGGGAAUUAGGAGUCAAUUCCCACAAACGGCACCACUGUUCCAUUUCAGAACUAAAAUUAGGUGUAUGUAGAUGGUGAAGAAUCCUGAACCGUGGUACUGAUCUCCAAUACAAUGAUGAGGGGUGAACCUGCAAGGUUAACACUCAAAUGCCUAAGUCAAUUCAGAAUUCAAGAUAAGUGUAGUAAAAAAUGGAGAUUAGAAAGUUCACCUUGAAUAUAUUGUGUGAUAGCUUUAUACCUGGUGUCAUUUAAAGUGGACAAAGCCUUAGCUUUGUGCCUUUGAACGACCCAAAACAAAUAGCAAAAUAUAAUUGAAAAGACAUAGAUGACAUAACAUUAUUUCAAAACUAUUUUUUAAAUAAAAAGGUAAAGUAAAAUCUAAACCUAAAAUAAAAAUAAAUAAUAACAAUCAAAAAUAAAAUAAAUAUUAAGACCCCUAAAUAAAAACGUAAAUAAAAGAAAAAACGCAACACCCUUGUACUUGCAAAAAUACAAAAAGGUUGACGAACCCUCUUAUGUGAUAAAGAGUAUGAGAGUUUUGUAUCUUUGUAUAUAAGAGAAAUAAUGAAUAUCCUCCUAACCCUUAGGGUUGGGAUAUUUAUAUCCUCAAGUUUUAGGCCAAGCAGAUGAAGUUAUAUUUAAUUCCCCUAAAUUGUUUUGGUUAAAUAUUGGGGGAUAAGAAGACCAUUUCUCAUAUAUACUUGGAGUCAGAUGACUUAGAAAUGGAAACAAAAUAUGUACCCGCGUGAACCAACCCCUAGUUUGUCAGGGAAAAUCAGUUCAGUCUGGGUCUGAGACUAGGUUUGGGUUUUCCCAAUUUGAAAAAAUGGAUACAAGACGAGUAAUGGGGAUACUAGUACCCACCAUGUGUGGAACAUUGUUUUGCAGAUGAUAUGCUUUUAACAAGGAUAUUAACUUUUGAUGAUGACAACUAAAGUAUUGCAAUAAGUCAAACAUGAAUGAUUAAAUUGCAAACAUAUCUUUAAGUUUGAUAAACUUUACAGUAUGGUGAUGGCAAACAAAGAAUAUUCUAAAGCCUCAUCUUAAAAGCCACUCAAGCAUAUGUCAAUAUAAAGAGAAGUAUCCGACAAAGGCUUGAAGAAAUAUAUGGUGAUCUCCUAACUUAGUAUUAGUGAUCUCCUAUUUUAGUAAUGAGUGAAUGUUUGUAAAAGAAAAAAGGACUUUAUCGUAAAAGUAUGAGACCAAAGUACACACCCACACACAAAACCAUUUUCAAAAUACUUUACUAAAAGAAAAUACUUUGAAAAACAUCUGAAAGUUAUGUCAGAUAAAUUGGAAAAAGUCAAAUUAGCUACAUGAUUUUUUUUUUACAUAGCUAAUCGAUUAGAGCAUUAGUCUAAUUGAUUAUAAAUGUUAAAACUUAAGGCCCAUAUCUUGAAGGUGCCUUGAUUAUGUACAACGACUAGAAAUCUUUUCCUUCCUUUUAUGGAACUUGCAAACGAUUAUUUUCAACUUCUAAUUGAUUAGGAAUAAGUGCUAAUCGAUUAAAUAAUGAUAAAAUGUAUUUAUUUCUAAUUCCUUUUUUAGCCAACCUCGGACCCAUAAAUAGUGGUUCCAUUUUUCAUUUCAAAGCAUCCAAAAUUAUGUUUUGACACAGAGAGAGAGAGAGAGAGCAUCUCUCUCUCUGUAAACAUUUCUUUAACUUUCUCUCACUGUGUUUUUAGCCUAAGUGAUUUUGUGAGAAAUAUUCUUUUGUUAGUGAGAUCAUUUUGUAAUUUUGGAAUGGUUAGAAUUAUAAAAUUCACCAAGGGAACCUUUUGUGUAUAACUUGACUAAAUACUGUCCAAUUAGGAAUUUGUUUAGGUUAAAGCUAAACCCUUAAAAAUCUUUCAUUUGGGAUUGAGUAUGCUAGUCCUAUUUUAGGUUGGAGAUUAACAUGUGGUAAAAUCUCUUAGGUUCUUAGUCAGUGCGAUAUUAAAACCAAGAUAUAUUGAAGCUCAGUUCGAUACUUAAAAGCUUCACAGGUUCGAGAUUAACCCGAUGUUAAAAUCUCACAGGUUUUUGGUUAGCCCGUUCAACACCAAGGUAUUAAGCUCAAAGGUUAUGGAACUUGAAGACUAACCGCUCCAAGGUUCAUGUUUGUGGAAAGAAGACUAACCGCUUCAAUCUACCAUUUGGGAAUGAAGAUUGCCCCAUUCACUCUCAAGCAAACAUUAAAGAAAAAACACAAACGCAUACAUCCAUCGUCUUAUAUAUUGUGAUCGAAGAUCAAUAACCAUUUCCUCAUAUAAGGAGGUUUGUGUGUAUUUCUUACUAAAAACUCUCAAUGUUUAAUAGAAACUCUUAAGAGCCAUGCAUCUAUAGAAAAUGACAAUUUCUUUCCUAAGAGAUUAAAAAUUAUUUGUCAAGACACUUGUAUUGACACGUUAUUCUUCAGAUAUUUGUGGACGUACCCAUCCAGACCAUGGUGCGAUGAGUUGGGCAACCUAUAACCCGGUCUGAACACCAAUGACCCAACAUAACACCUUUGGAUUAAUUUAGUUUUAUAUCGUCGAAACCCAAUUAAAGUUAUCUGAGUCCAUCCUUAACAAAAAAAAUUUAACUAAAAAAAUAAAAACAAAAUCCUAAAUAAAAUAAAUAAAAUAAGGGUAAUGCUAACUUGUGCCUCAGGGGCACAAGUUAAGAGAUGAAUAUAGAAACAAAUUCUUGAAAAAUGUGUAUUGAAUUUAUUAAAAAUUUAUCAUUAAUAAUUUUAUUUAUUUUUCCAAAACAAAUUUUCUAUUUGUGGGUUUUGAGAUGAAUAUAGAAACAAAUUCUUGAAAAAUGUGUAUUGAAUUUAUUAAAAAUUUAUCAUUAAUAAUUUUAUUUAUUUUUCCAAAACAAAUUUUCUAUUUGUGGGUUUUUUAACAUGUGCCUUUGGGGCACAAGUUAGCAUUACCCAUAAAAUAAAAACAUAAUCUCCCCAAAUAAAAUCCUUAAUAAAAUUUCAAGGAACUCAAAUUAUAUUUAACUCAUUUUUACUAAAAAAUAAAAUAAAAUAAAUAUUUUAUGAAUAAAAAUUUAUUAAAAAUAUCAAUAAUUAAUAGAAAAUCAUUUUAAAAUACUAAUAUAUAUUUCUUUUUAAAUAAAAUUUAAUAUCUCAUCUAAAAAAAAAUCUUAUUUAAUUUAUUUUGUAAAAACAAAUUAUAAAAGAUAUAAAAAAAUAGAGAAUAACAUUGUGAACUAUGCAAUCUAAUUCCCAUUCUGAUAUCGGCCCAAGCCCGCCUAUUAACUCGUAACUAAAAUUAGGAGUCCGUCACGGAAGGAUCUAGAAGUCAAGUCUUCCCAACGGCAUUAUACAAAUCGUCACCGAAGGAUCUAGAACCCUACUAAACUCCUCCCUAUAUAACUACUCACUUCUCUUUCACCACUCAUAAUUCUCUCUCAAAACCCUAACUUUACCUCUAUCUCUCCCUCUACAACCUGUUUCUCGAUCUACCAUGACAGAAACCGAAACGUUUGCUUUUCAGGCUGAGAUCAACCAGCUUCUCAGUCUUAUCAUCAACACCUUCUACUCCAACAAGGAGAUCUUUCUCCGUGAACUUAUCAGUAACGCCUCUGAUGUAAGCUUCCGAUUUACUCGCUUGUUUAGGGUUUUUUGAUGCUGUUUACAUACUUUUUCUGCUUGAUCUGUGAUUUAUACAUGUUAUUUAGUCUAAUUGAAAUUGAUUAAUAGUGUUUUCACUUUUAUGUCUCUAUUAAGUUGUAGAUUAGCUUAGAAACACCUUGACUGACUCUGUUUUCGUUAAUUUCUUGCAUUGAUUUCACAUGUUUUUGUGUGAUUACUCUGAUUUUAAUUAUUUUAUGCGUUGUUCAUUAAUUGGAUAGGGUUUUUGUAGAUUAAUAUGUUAGAUUUGUUUUGUUGACACGUUACAUGCUUUAUAUGAGCCUUAGUAGUGGUAAGGGAUAGUGAUUUUUAUUAUGACUGGAAAUAAUGAUUUUAUUUCCAUCGAAUUGAAUUGGAAUGGUUGUUUUGAUCUGUUUAUUUGUUUUUGUUAAUAAUUAUAGAGUGGGAACUGUUUGAGUGUGAGUGAAUGAUUAAUUUUUUUCUUCAAAGAUGUUGAUGUGAUUUUGAUUGCCUAACAAUGUAGGCUUUGGACAAGAUCCGUUUCGAGAGUUUGACAGACAAGAGCAAGCUCGAUGGGCAACCUGAGUUGUUUAUCCAUAUCAUUCCCGAUAAGACUAACAACUCUUUGACCAUUAUUGAUAGUGGUAUUGGAAUGACCAAAGCUGGUAAGUUGACACUGUUUUUCCAUUAUACAAGUUUUGAUUGGUUGUUAAUGUGAUUGAUUCUAAUACUGUUUUGCUGGUUUUUAAAUUGUUAUAGAUUUGGUCAACAACUUGGGUACCAUUGCAAGGUCUGGUACCAAGGAAUUCAUGGAAGCUAUUGCUGCUGGUGCUGAUGUAAGCAUGAUCGGACAGUUUGGUGUUGGUUUUUACUCUGCAUAUCUUGUUGCUGAGAAGGUGAUUGUUACCACCAAGCACAAUGAUGAUGAGCAGUAUGUGUGGGAGUCCCAAGCUGGUGGGUCCUUCACGGUUACAAGGGAUACAUCUGGUGAGGUUCUUGGCAGGGGUACUAAGAUCACUCUCUACCUUAAGGAAGACCAGCUUGAGUACCUUGAGGAGCGUCGUUUGAAGGAUUUGGUUAAGAAGCAUUCUGAGUUCAUUAGUUACCCAAUUUCUCUAUGGAUUGAGAAGACUAUUGAAAAGGAGAUUUCUGAUGAUGAAGACGAGGAAGAUAAGAAGGACGAGGAGGGCAAAGUAGAGGAAGUUGAUGAAGAGAAGGAGAAAGAGGAGAAAAAGAAGAAGACUAUUAAGGAGGUGUCUCAUGAAUGGGAUUUGGUUAACAAGCAAAAGCCUAUCUGGAUGAGGAAGCCUGAAGAGAUUGGAAAGGAAGAAUACUCUGCUUUCUACAAGAGUCUUACUAAUGAUUGGGAAGAGCAUUUGGCUGUCAAGCACUUCUCUGUUGAGGGUCAACUUGAGUUUAAGGCUGUUCUCUUUGUACCCAAGAGAGCACCCUUUGACCUUUUUGACACCAAGAAGAAGCCCAACAACAUUAAGCUCUAUGUUCGCAGGGUCUUUAUCAUGGACAACUGUGAAGAGUUGAUUCCUGAGUAUCUUGCCUUUGUUAAGGGUAUUGUUGAUUCUGAGGAUCUUCCUCUCAACAUUUCAAGGGAAACAUUGCAGCAGAACAAGAUCUUGAAGGUCAUCCGCAAGAACUUGGUUAAGAAGUGCCUUGAACUUUUCUUUGAAAUUGCUGAGAACAAGGAGGAUUACAACAAGUUUUAUGAAGCUUUCUCUAAGAAUUUGAAGCUUGGUAUCCAUGAGGAUUCUCAGAACAAGGGAAAGAUUGCUGAACUUCUCAGGUACCACUCCACCAAGAGUGGUGAUGAGCAGACCAGUCUUAAGGAUUACGUCACAAGGAUGAAGGAAGGCCAGAGUGACAUCUACUACAUUACUGGUGAAAGUAAGAAGGCUGUUGAGAAUUCUCCAUUCUUGGAGAAGUUGAAGAAGAAGGGAUAUGAAGUUCUAUAUAUGGUUGAUGCUAUUGAUGAGUAUGCUGUUGGUCAACUCAAGGAAUUUGAGGGAAAGAAGUUGGUAUCUGCUACCAAGGAAGGUUUGAAGCUUGAAGAAACUGAGGAUGAGAAGAAGAAACAGGAAGAAUCAAAGGAGAAGUUUGACAAUCUUUGCAAGGUGAUUAAGGAGGUUUUGGGUGACAAGGUUGAGAAGGUUAUUGUUUCAGACC